CCCUUAGAUGUUCUGGGCUGCACGCGCGCUACACUGAUGCGCUCAACGAGUUUUAACCUUGCCUGGAAAGGUUGGGUAAUCUUUUUAAAACGCAUCGUGAUGGGGAUAGAUUAUUGCAAUUAUUAAUCUUCAACGAGGAAUGCCUAGUAAGCGCAAGUCAUCAGCUUGCGUUGAUUACGUCCCUGCCCUUUGUACACACCGCCCGUCGCUCCUACCGAUUGAAUGGUCCGGUGAAGCGUUCGGACCGUGGCCUUUGGACGGUUCGCCGUCUGUUGGCUGCGGGAAGUUCGUUAAACCUUAUCAUUUAGAGGAAGGAGAAGUCGUANCA
rnacentral:rRNA from 1 species